AUACGAAGGGUGCAAGCGUUGUUCGGAAUAACUGGGCGUAAAGGGCGCGUAGGCGGGUUGGUAAGUUAGAUGUGAAAUCCCCGGGCUUAACCCGGGAACUGCAUCUAAUACUGCUAAUCUUGAAUGUUUGAGAGGGUGGUGGAAUUCCCGGUGUAGAAGUGAAAUUCGUAGAUAUCGGGAGGAACAUCUGAGGCGAAGGCGGCCACCUGGCGAAACAUUGACGCUGAGGCGCGAAAGCGUGGGGAUCAAACAGGAUUAGAUACCCUGGUAGUCCACGCCGUAAACGAUGGAUGCUAGAUGUUCGGAGAGUUAACCCUCUGAGUAUCGAAGCUAACGCAUUAAGCAUCCCGCCUGGGAAGUACAGUCGCAAGGCUGAA
rnacentral:rRNA from 1 species